rnacentral:lncRNA from 1 species
GGACCCGGGCGUGAGAAUAAUCACCAAGUGUGCUGGGAUCAAAUCUCACACAUAUGAUGACUCAUGGUACAGAAACGAAUACCACAUCUUUACUAUAUAAUAGGAGUUCUGUAGAAAAUAGUUAAAUAAUUACAUCAUGCAAAGACAACGAUCCAGCAACACAAAGAUGACCGGGAGACAAUGACCUAGACCACUCACGAACUCAUCACAACAUCCUUCAUGCGCCUCAUCCUGCGGUAGCUAUUCUUGACCUGGGGGAUGUGAGUACAACAAGGGUGAGCUCACAUACGUUCAUCGCUCAAAAAUUUGUGGGGAAUAAUGUGCAUGAACUCACCAAAGGUGGGAGCUCAUGUGAAGUGUAAGGCUUACCAAAGGAGAUGGUUAAAGCUAAGCAUUGCUUUUAAAGUUGGUCAAAUUUUUAUUAGUAGUUACUAAGUAUAAGUAGAUACCGACCCAAUAACUAAGAGAUCAAAAUUGAUAACAACACCCACAAUGCAAUGCAUAUGACAAAUUGAGUUUAGUUCCAUAGAUUAAUCAUGCGAGAGUCCUGGGCUGCUCAUGACUGCGAGCACGACUGAUAUACUAGUUUUACACUUUACAGAAGUUGCGCCCUUUACCCGCAAGUCGUGUAUCCCGUCUAGCCAGGGUUAGCUAGACCUUUAGACACUUCCAAGGUGAAUGGCUAGGGAUCCACUACGAGUCCUUUUCAAAGUUCCACUAGCUUCAGAAAAUCCGCUACAGUUUCUAGGAAGGGCAAUAUAGGAAUCCCUCGUCCUAAAAGCCAUCGCAACAUGAUCGACCCAAGAACCUCCCUAUACACAACUCCCCUACUGCUCUUGCCCCUUUCAGGUAAGGUAGUUCUCCACUAGCUUUCCUAAUUAGUCAGCCAAGGGCGUCCCAUUCCACCUUUGUGGUAGCACGUGUUUCUCAAGUUAAGCUCCAUGUUCCAAUUAACACAAUGAUAUUGUCAUGAGCAAUAAUUAAAACAACAGUAUAAUUGGAACAUGAUCAUAAUGUAAUAUUAAUCCCAAAACCAGAUAGAGAAAUAGCAAAACUACCCAAAAGUUUAGUGGUAAACAAGGUGUGAGAUAAACAAGUCUAGAGAAACCUAUUAGGUCCCAUCAAAUUAACCUGAGCAUGUCACAACGAUUAAUAGGAACAUUAUUGAGUAAAGAAAAGUGAUCAAGGGCACAACUUGCCCAAGACUCGAGAUUCCAGGUACCAGGAUGAUCUUCAGAUUCUCGUGACCUCACAGCUUUUCAUAGUAAUACAAACAAACAUGGUAUAGGCAAAAUUAACAUCACACCAAACAUAAGCACAAACUACAUAAUAAUAUUCUACGCGUCGUAAUGAGAUCAUAGGAUCGAGAAUCACUAAAUUCAGAGUUACGGUUAAGAAAAUAUGGUUUUCGAAAGAUUUUAAUGUUUAAAAUAAUUAACACUAGGCCUUAAAUUAAUUCUAUCAAUUAUGUGGGAAAGAUAAUCUAAGAAAUUAUUAAUUCAAUUUUAAUCUAAACUAUAACUUUAUCAUAGUUCAUCUACUGGUCAACUUAUAUUUAUAGUUAGAUUCCUUAGAUAAAAAGAUUAAUCUACUCUAUAUAGGAUAAAUAAUACCUAACUAUAAAAGUAUGAGAUUUGACAAAAUAAGGUUUUGUCAUUGUGUAGUAAAUUUUAUUGCGAAUCAAACGCAAUUUGAACGGGUCAAAUCGGAGUUAGAAUAAAUUAUUUAUGGAUUUUCUAUGAUUUUUGGAAUUACUUUUAUACUUAGAAAUCAGUUUUUGGAUUUUGUUAUUGUUGUUAACCGAAAAAUGGGCGGCGACAUUAAUUUCCCAAAGGUCCGAGUCUAUUUUAUAAAUAGUAGGACUAAUUUGUAAUGGUUUUUAUAUUGCAUAGGACAGCAGGUUGAUUAUUUAAGAACCUGAGGACUCUUGCGCAAAAAAGGACGUGGAUGAAGGGGUAUGGUUCAAUUCUGAACAUUGGAUGCAUACCCAAGAUCCCAAAUUAGAUCUUUAAAUAGCACCAAUAGGUAUGCAUUUGUAGCGGUUGGAUUAAAGAUCAACGAUAGAGCGCCCCAGAGCGACCGGGCCGUCUACCAAUCAACCGACGACGAGGAUGCAUCCCACGAAAAUGGGGGGAUAUGUUUUAAUCCUAAUCGUCCAACGCCGAUCCGACUGCCACGACCACAUCUCACAACAAUGCCCCGAUUCCCCACCGAAUCGGUAUCCACUGAUCUAAUAUUAAUCGUCGAUGCACGAUCCAAUGGUCCGAGGCGUGCUUCUACCCUUUGACCUCCAGAGCGGCGGCGCGAACCCGACCUACGGUGGUGCUCCGCCGGUGGAUGGCCAUCACCCGUACUAGCGCAAAAUCCCCAUGAAAAAUCAGUGUUACACGCAGAGGACACCAAGGCAAAAACAAUUGGAGUUGUCUUACCGUCGAUCGACACAUAGGGACGGUAGUCCAUGACGGAGCAUAGAUUUGGGCGGAGUUCCGCAAUGACGAGAAAUUCUAGGGCCCCUGAGGCUGGCUGCUCCGGCAACCACCCGGAUUCGGGACCAACGCGAGCACGCUGCUCGCACCAUACAAUUUUCGAGGGCUAGGGCGACCUAGUGGCAAAGUUGGGUGGUGGUGGUGGAAGCUUUUCUCCCUCCUUCGUCCUUUCUGUUUCGCUGCGAUUGCCCUCGGUGUCGUAUUCUAUGAGGGGAAUAGGGGAUCUCAGGCUUGGCUUUUAUGCACCACGGGUGGAGUCCGCGUGGGGGGUAAUCGAUUGGUGGAUCUCCCCGAAACGCAGAGUGGUCGCGACGCGCUGAGUCCGUCAGAGGAUAGGGAUGAUUUUG